UUGUCAUUCUCAUGCGUAUAGGGUUGUCAUUGUGGUGAUCGCCAGUCACCACAUGAUCGGAUUCGUUGAGGUCAGGCUUCGUCUCCGGUUAUCUCCUCAUCAAGCUAGUCACGGUCCUUGUGCCGCCCCUUGCCGGGGCGGCUUUUUAUU
rnacentral:sRNA from 1 species